GUAUGCCUCAUGACUCAUCCCUCCUCUAGAAGGGAGCUAAGAGGCAACUGAACAUCCACCCAGGACUGCAACUCAAGAUUGUGGAAGCAAGAGUUCUAAAUACCUCUUCAGUAGGUUAUGCCUUUCCCAGAAGGACUGAUCUCAAAGCACAAUUUCCAAGAAUGCUAUUACCAGAAAAAUGGGGACUUUUAACCAACUAUAUACUGUAGAAGAGUGGAACAUGAGGGUCUCAAGAAUUCGAGUGUUUAUGAAGUACCACGAAUGGGCUCAGCUACUAACAUACUUGAUGCUGCUCAGAAUGCCAGUCCUUUGAAAAUCUGUGAAGUAGAAAGUUUGCCCUUGGUGCCCCUAAAUCUCUUGACUUCAACCUCCAUUCCUGGAAUGUUACCUUUCCUAUGCCUGAGGAAAGUCAUCCAGUUUUACCGGGCAAGGUCUUGGGUGUACUCUUUGGAGAAGACUCGAGAGCUUUGUAUGAAAGCAGGAAGCCCGUCUCAUCACCAGGGAUGCAGCAGCUCACUGCGGUUUGGAGUCACCAGACUCAGCUUUGCCUCACUCAGAGGAUUCUUUAGGUUUCUUUACUUAAAAAGGAUAAGAGAGCACCUUGGAGAAAUAACUGAUUCUGGGACCGGGGCAGGAAGUUUAUAAGAAGAACCUGGAACAUCUUUUAGUGCCAGAACGUAGAGAUGCCAGUGGAAGAGGCAGUCGUUGCUGGUUCUCUUUCCUUUCUGAGGACCAGAGGAGCAACUCCCUGUCUCCAUUCAGCUGGGCAAUUUCCUGGUGAGUGGAGAAUCUCCUGGAAACCGCUGGCUGAGUUUCCAGUCAUUGCAGGACCCGGCUGUUGCCUAUUAAAAAGGUACAGAAUGGAAGAUCCCCACUGGAUCAUCAGGCAAAGGCCAAGCCAUUGUUUGUCCUGCCAUACAAUCCUGUCUUCUAGAAUUCUGGCACAUUCUAAUUUCUUUAUAAUUAAAAAUUACAUGUUUAGUAGGCAUGCUGGUAAGUUCCUUUUAAUAUGUCUUUAACUGAUCUCUGUAUUUAUUGUGAAUCCACUGUGUCUAGCUAGCACCAUGGUAGGAGACUUACAUUAUCUUCAGAAGCAGAUCAUUUAUAAUACAUGUUUUGUUCUUUCUUUCAGCAUCAUCUCACAAUUUUUACAAUGGUUUCAGUGUUUCAUAUUUUAAGGUUUUCUUUGUUUCUCUUUCCUUUUAUUUCUAUCACAUUAUGUAAUUAGCUCUUUAUUUAGAAGGGAAGUUAAAAAAGGAAUUAAACAGUUAUCUGAUAAAUUUUUUUUUCAAUGUACAAGGAUUUUUAUUAUUUAUUUUUAUUUUUUUUUAUUAUUUUCCCACUGUACAGCAAGGGGGUCAGGUCAUCCUUAGAUGUAUACAUUGCAGUUACAGUUUUUUCCCCCACCCUUUCUUCUGUUGCAACAUGAGUAUCUAGACAUAGUUCUCAAUGCUAUUCAGCAGGAUCUCCUUAUAAAUCUAUUCUAGGUUGUGUCUGAUAAGCCCAAGCUCCCGAUCCCUCCC
rnacentral:lncRNA from 1 species